AACGAACGCUGGCGGCAGGCUUAACACAUGCAAGUCGAGCGCCCCGCAAGGGGAGCGGCAGACGGGUGAGUAACGCGUGGGAAUCUACCUUUUGCUACGGAAUAACUCAGGGAAACUGUGCUAAUACCGUAUGUGCCAUUCGGGGGAAAGAUUUAUCGGAAAAGGAUGAGCCCGCGGUGGAUUAGCUAGUUGGUGGGGUAAAGGCCCACCAAGGCGACGAACCAUAGCUGGUCUGAGAGGAUGAUCAGCCACACUGGGACUGAGACACGGCCGAGACUCCUACGGGAGGCAGCAGUGGGGAAUAUUGGACAAUGGCGCAAGCCUGAUCCAGCCAUGCCGCGUGAGUGAUGAAGGCCCUAGGGUUGUAAAGCUCUUUCACCGGUGAAGAUAAUGACGGUAACCGGAGAAGAAGCCCCGGCUAACUUCGUGCCAGCCGCCGCCGUAAGAC
rnacentral:rRNA from 1 species